rnacentral:rRNA from 1 species
GACGAACGCUGGCGGCGUGGAUUAGGCAUGCAAGUCGAACGGUAUCAUCCUUUCGGGGGUGAGAGAGUGGCGAACUGGUGAGUAACACGUAGGUUAUCUACCCUCAAGACGGGGACAACCCAGGGAAACUUGGGCUAAUACCGGAUGUGAGCAACUUUUAGUUGUUUGAAAGGUGGCGUAAGCUGUCGCUUGGGGAUGAGCCUGCGUCCUAUUAGUUAGUUGGUGAGGUAACGGCUCACCUAGGCAAUGAUAGGUAGGCGGCCUUAACGGGUGGUCGCCCACACUGGGAUUGAGAUACGGCCCAGACUCCUACGGGAGGCAGCAGUCGAGAAUAGUCUACAAUGGUCGGAAGACUGAUAGUGCGACGCCGCGUGAACGAUGAAUCCCUUCGGGGUGUAAAGUUCUUUUAUAUGUGAGCAGUGCUUCUUAUAUUAACAGUAUGGGGAAGAGAUAUUAGCAUAUGAAUAGCAACGGCUAACUCCGUGCCAGCAGCCGCGGUAA